rnacentral:rRNA from 1 species
UACGUAGGAUGCAAGCGUUUGUCCGGAUUUACUGGGCGUAAAGCGCGCGCAGGCGGCACACCAAGUACCCCUAUGAAAUCUCCUUGCUCAACGGGGGAGGGUGUUGGGUAGACUGGUGAGCUAGAGGGACGGUAGAGGGGGGGUAGAAUUGCUGGUGUAGCGGUGAAAAUGCGUAGAGAUCAGCAGGAAUACCCCUGGCGAA